ensembl:lncRNA
UGCUUCUUAUCAACCAACAAAUGCAGCGUACCUUUUCACUAAGGCGUGAAGAAAUUGUAAAUUCUGCUCCUCCGAUUGAUGAACUAAGGGAUAGAUGGCCUGCACUUUUUUGUGAACCCCAGCUCUACUUGGAAUUCCAUAGGAUCACCAAUCAAAAUCUGCUCACAGCUUCUGAAAUUGUCCAAAAUGAAGACGACUGGAAGAUUUGGAGAGAAGCUGCAGCAAGUUGUGACAGCAUACGAAGAACAGGACAAGAACAACAUCACUGCAGCCAGAACAGCAGCCCUUGCUGGCCUACCACUGUACCUGAAAGAGGAUUCUUCAG